GCAUAUCAAUAAGCGGAGGAAAAGAAACUAACAAGGAUUCCCCUAGUAACUGCGAGUGAAGCGGGAAGAAGCUCAAAUUUAAAAUCUGGCGGUCUACGGCCGUCCGAGUUGUAACCUGGAGGAGGCUUUUCCGCGUYGGACCGUGUACAAGUCUCCUGGAAUGGAGCGUCAUAGAGGGUGAGAAUCCCGUCGAUGACACGGAGGCCCCGAUGCUUUGUGAUAGUCUCCCGAAGAGUCGCGUUGUUUGGGAAUGCAGCGCAAAAUGGGUGGUAAAUUCCAUCUAAAGCUAAAUACUGGCGAGAGACCGAUAGCGAACAAGUACCGUGAGGGAAAGAUGAAAAGCACUUUGGAAAGAGAGUUAAACAGUACGUGAAAUUGUUGAAAGGGAAACGCUUGAAGUCAGUCGCGUCGCGGGGAACUCAGCCUGGCCUCGGCCUGGUGUACUUUCCCCGGGACGGGUCAACAUCAGUUUCGGGCGGCGGACAAAGGCGCGGGGAAUGUAGCGUCGCUUCGGCGACGUGUUAUAGCCCCGGGUCGGAUACGCCGCCGGGGACUGAGGACCGCAGCACGCCCUCGUUGGCCGGGGGUUCGCCCCACGUACCGUGCUUAGGAUGUUGGCAUAAUGGCUUUAAGCGACCCGUCUUGAAACACGGACCAAGGAGUCUAACAUGCUUGCGAGUGUUCGGGUGGAAAACCCUUGCGCGCAAUGAAAGUGAAAGUUGGGAGCCUCCGCAAGGGGGCGCACUGACGCCCGGCCCUGAAGUCUUCUGACGGUGCUGCGGUAGAGCAGGUAUGUUGGGACCCGAAAGAUGGUGAACUAUGCCUGAAUAGGGCGAAGCCAGAGGAAACUCUGGUGGAGGCUCGUAGCGAUUCUGACGUGCAAAUCGAUCGUCAAAUUUGGGUAUAGGGGCGAAAGACUAAUCGAACCAUCUAGUAGCUGGUUCUGC
rnacentral:rRNA from 1 species